ACUGCAACUGCAUGCACAUCAUAGGGGUUAAGAUGAUCAAUUUCUGUCACUAAUAACUGCCCUGUAACCGGUGUCCAAAAUGUUCUUGGCAUUAUCAGAC